rnacentral:tRNA from 11 species
CCUCAGCUAAGUGGAUAACGCGAUAGAGUUUGAAGCGAAAGGUACUAGGUUCAAGUCUCAAAGUGAAGAU